UUUAUGGAGAGUUUGAUCCUGGCUCAGGAUGAACGCUGGCGGCGUGCCUAAUACAUGCAAGUCGAGCGAACGGACGAGAAGCUUGCUUCUCUGAUGUUAGC
rnacentral:rRNA from 1 species